rnacentral:rRNA from 1 species
GUAGGUGGCAAGCGUUGUCGGAAUUAUUGGGGCGUAAAGCGCGCGCAGGCGGUUCUCUAAGUCUGAUGUGAAAGCCACGGGCUCAACCGUGAGGUCAUUGGAAACUGGAGAACUUGAGUACAGAAGAGGAAAGCGGAAUUCCACGUGUAGCGGUGAAAUGCGUAGAGAUGUGGAGGAACACCAGUGGCGAAGGCGGCUUUCUGGUCUGUAACUGACGCUGAGGCGCGAAAGCGUGGGGAGCAAACAGGAUUAGAUACCCUGGUAGUCCACGCCGUAAACGAUGAGUGCUAAGUGUUAGGGGGUUUCCGCCCCUUAGUGCUGCAGCUAACGCAUCAAGCACUCCGCCUGGGGAGUACGGCCGCAAAGGCCG